UCUCCUUGUCCCAGUGAAAUCAACAAGCGGAUAUAAAGGGACACGAAGGCGCAGAGAUAUCAUCAAACUGGAAACGUUCUUCUACUAACUCUGAUCCGGAUUUUAAAACUUCCUUUAUCAGUUUUGUCUCAUGAAUUACAGCCAGUGUGUUAUUGACUUACGCUUUCUGAAAACAUCGUUUACAAAACAAUGGAGCAUAGCGUUUUUAGACUUUUUCCCUUUGUUUUGAGAUUUACAUUUUGAAAACCUACGAAACUGUC
rnacentral:lncRNA from 1 species